rnacentral:lncRNA from 1 species
GUUUUGAUCCUGCUGAUAAUUUCUUAAUAGAUUGUGGAUCAAAUAAGGAUACUAAUGUUGGUAAUAGGGUUUUUAUGGCUGAUAAAUCAGCUGCUAAGUUUCUUUCAACUUCACAAAAUAUAUUGGCUGAUACCCCUUCAAAUUCUAUUACAAAAGCUGAUGAUUCACCUCUUUAUCAAACUGCUAGAAUUUUCACUCAACAAUCUAGCUAUAAUGAUACCCCUUCAAAUUCAAUUACAAAAGCUGAUGAUUCACCUCUUUAUCAAACUGCUAGAAUUUUCACUCAACAAUCUAGCUAUAAAUUCCCAAUCAGUCAAGUCGGGAGGCAUUGGAUCCGCCUUUAUUUUUAUCCGUUUGUUUAUCAAGAAUAUGAUAUGAGCAAAGCAACUUUCUCUGUUUCC